ACACCACUCACCUCACUCGGAUCGUCCGGCACGUUCCUGCCGGUGGAGGGACUCUCUU
rfam:Rhodococcus sp. BCP1 chromosome, whole genome shotgun sequence.